rnacentral:lncRNA from 1 species
GCCGAGAUGCUGGGAUGAAUCCUUUGCGGUUGGAAGCUGAGGAUUGGUUGCGGAUGAUUGGAGGUGGCUCUGUUCCGAAGCAGGGGAGGAUGCGGUUGAAGCUUGGUGGACACGGCUGAUGGCUGAUUCAUGGGAAUGGGACUCAUGGCUAUGUGGAGAUGCCGGAAGAAUCGGGAUGCUGAUCCGUAUGGCCACACGAUGAGAAUGGAUUGCGGGAUACUCGGAUGCGGGAGGAGAUCUUGGGACUCAUCGCGGAAGAAGAAGAGGAUCCAGGACAAUGGAGAUAAUCUGGAAAGAUGUUGGAUUCGGCUCUAUCUUGGGAUGAAGAUGAACCUAUUGGAUGCAGGGGAUGAGAGCUGGAUCACAAACGAAAUGUAAGCUAGAUUCAUGCGGAUGCUGGGAAGAAAUCUGGGAGUUCGGAAGGCUCAUCCUUGCUGGGAUCUAGCGGAAGAAGUUGGGGAGAUGCAGAUGAGAUGAUGAGAGAUCCGGGUGAUUACAGGACGAGGAUGGAUCA